ensembl:rRNA 5S_rRNA 5S ribosomal RNA
GUCUACCGCCAUACCACUCUGAACACGCCCAAUCUUGUCUGAUCUCAGAAGCUAAGCAGGGUCAGGCCUAGUUAGUAUAAUAAUUGGAUGGGGGAAAUG